GAAUAAGUACUGGGCUUACAAAGAAUAAGUCCCGGGGUCGAUUUGCUCGACUAAAGGUGGUGCUCCAGCAUGGCUGCAGUCAAAUGACUGAAACAAGUAAAAGAGAAAGAGAAGAGAAACAUUAUCAUGAUGUUAACCUUUUGGCAUUUAGCCACAUCCAGCCAAAAUAUUCUUCCUGUUUUAUGUUCAAACUGGCAAGAUCCAGCCUCUCACACCAACCCUGCAAUGUUAGUCUAAAAAAUAUAGUCUCUUAAUUGAAAGCUCAAAGCUACGAAAUAAUACAGGAUAAAUUCAAAACAAUGUGAAUAAAUAAGCAUUAUAUUUGAUAGAAUAAUCUGAAUGAUAAAGAGUUAAAUAUGCAAAAAUUUCUAGAACUGUUCAACCCAUAUGUAGCAUAAGUAAAAAACAAAAAAAACAACAACUUUAUUUUGAGUAUCAUAAUAAUAAUAAUAAUAGAGUAAAUCCCUGCUUUGAUAUACAAGUAUGGCUUACAUUUUGACCUGUAGAGUUUUGAAGUAUAAUUCUGUUGAGCCAAUGAGAUAUAUCUGAUUAAUCAGCUUAUGGCAAACUACUUCUCUUACAUUAAUCUUUCAGAAAUGAACGAAUGUCACAAUCUUAAUUCCCUCUCGCUAUGUUUGUAAUCAUUUGCUGUUGUGAGAAAUCAGUGUUAGUGCAUCACAUAAUGAUUUAACUAAUGAAUAUAAUCAAGAAUUAAUAUCAGUACAAUGUAACAGGCAGAAAGAAAGCUAAGUCUUUCAAAGUGAUUUUCUUUCAUAUUGUUAAACUAAUAUUUUACACAAAUAAACCUUUAUCAACACUAGAAUUUGAACAGAAGAGUUACAAUUAAUCAGAAGUAUAUGAGUUGUCCUACUUUGUAUAUAUAUAUAUAUACACACACA